rnacentral:tRNA from 1 species
AAGAUUUUAUCUUAAUAAAAGUAUCUGAGUUGCAUUCAGAGGAUGUAGGUUAAUAUCCUUCAAAUCUUA